rnacentral:rRNA from 1 species
GACGAACGCUGGCGGCGUGCUUAACACAUGCAAGUCGAACGGAAAGGCCCUGCUUUUGUGGGGUGCUCGAGUGGCGAACGGGUGAGUAACACGUGAGUAACCUGCCCUUGACUUUGGGAUAACUUCAGGAAACUGGGGCUAAUACCGGAUAGGAGCUCCUGCUGCAUGGUGGGGGUUGGAAAGUUUCGGCGGUUGGGGAUGGACUCGCGGCUUAUCAGCUUGUUGGUGGGGUAGUGGCUUACCAAGGCUUUGACGGGUAGCCGGCCUGAGAGGGUGACCGGCAACAUUGGACUGAGAUACGGCCCAGACUCCUACGGGAGGCAGCAGUGGGGAAUAUUGCACAAUGGGCGGAAGCCUGAUGCAGCAACGCCGCGUGCGGGAUGACGGCCUUCGGGUUGUAAACCGCUUUCGCCUGUGACGAAGCGUGAGUGACGGUAAUGGGUAAAGAAGCACCGGCUAACUACGUG